CUCCGCCGCCUGCUCGAAGCCCCCAUCUCGCCGGAAGCCCUUGCCGGGGUCCGCGCCCGCGAGAGGUUCCACCAGCUCUUCUCCGACGCCGGUGGCGGCGGCGCCGCCCCCCGGCGGCAGCCGCGCGGCGGCGACUGCCCGGUGUGCCUGCAGGAGAUGGAGAGCGAAGGGGAGGGGGCGCUAAAGACCUGCGCCACCUGCGGGAACUCUCUGCACGAGGGUUGCUUCCUCAGGUGGAGGAGCAGCCGUGGGAGGAGGGCGGCGACCUGCGUGCUGUGCAGGGCGAGGUGGAGGGACAGGAAGGAGACGGAAAGGUACCUCAAUCUCGCGGCCUACGCCGGCGAGGACGAGACGCCGGCGACCGGCGGAGGGUCUUCCUGCGCAGGUUGACCUUCAUCCUAUCUUCGGUAUGGCUCCCCGCGGGGAAGACGGAAG
rnacentral:lncRNA from 1 species